rnacentral:lncRNA from 1 species
GGUUUGGGUGAAAAUAAUCCUGUGUGAUGCAUGUACCGUACGCGAGAUUUUUCAUCCACUGAUAUGCUGCCACGUCACCAUCAACAGUACAUAAGAAUUUUAGCCCAACAGGAUCGUGACACCUCAUCAGUCAAUGCCACAUCAUCGGUCAAUGCCACAUCAUCGAUCCGUCUAUGUGAACAGUGUUGUGAACAGUAACGUAGUUAGUACCGUACACGUGAAUAGUACCGUACAUAUGAAUAAUGCCAUUUUUCCUUUUAUGCUCCUCUUAAGGUUUUCGACCGUCCUGAGUUCAAAAGUGAUGUCCGUUUUGCCGUCUGAUCUCUCCUUUAUUGUGAAAUGACUAUAAUGCCCCUAAAAUACAUAAAAUACUUAAUUAAAAUAAAACACAUGUAAUUAAAUCACAAGAAGGUUAAAUACAUAAAAGUAAGGGUUGUUAGUAAGACUUGAAAUGUAAAAUGACGGUUUUCUCCUUUAUAAAUAUGCAUUUUCUAACACUCAACACACUCCCCAACCAGCUUAUUGCUAGUCCCUAGCAAAUAAAGCGAAAACAAAAUUCAAAUUUAAAAUAUAUAUAUAUAUUUUUUAAUAGAAACACUCGUAUUUAUUCCGUCAGAUUAAUGAUAGCAAUCAAAUAAAAAUAUAAGCAUUAUCUCCAGUCUAAAGCAACAUCACACCCACAUUAACCAUCCACAUGAAUCAGGCCAGUAGACUUUGUCAUAGCUACUUUCAAGAAUGACAUGUCAAACCCCAAAAUCUCACUGGAAGUAGUGACACUCUCACAAAGAAAUUAAAACCAAUAAAAAUAGUCACUCCAAUGAAUGGUAAUUGAGAGAGAAAAUAAUAAAGAAGUGAUAUCACAUGCUCUCACCAAGAUGAAAUAAAUAUGCCCUCAGCUUAUAAAUAAUACGAACUCAAGUCAAACAAAAAUGCUAGUCAACCCACUUUAUUUAUCUUCUUUUUUUUUUUUAUUAUGCAUCACUACAUCUUUUUAGCCCAUAUAACUAGCUUCUACUUCAAACUAUAGUUCCCUAAAAUCAAGAAGGACUUUUAUUAGGACGUAACGUAGGCUAGGGAUAUGGCUAACAAAGAAAGGAAAUAAGGAAAACAAAGUGUAUGUUUGAGAAAAAUGCAGAAUUUUUUUUUUUUUUUUUUGGAACUUGCAAGGUGGAUUUCACCUAUUAUUGUUAUUUUUAUUUUCUCUUUUGAAACAACAACUUUUGUUUUUUUUUUCUUUUUUUUUUUUUGGCAUAACUUUACUGAACAACAUAAUUAUUUACAUUUUCUCAAACAUAAAUAGGUGAUGGAACUUAUAAGACAUUGGGUAAUACUCCAAAUUGGAGUGGGUCAAGAUGAUAAGUUGACAAAGAAAUUUUUUUUUUUUUUUUUUUUUAAAGGCUCAAAAGGGUUAACUAUGGAUAUUUGAUAAAAGGGAUGGCUAGAAAGGCUCAAACGGAUCAAAGAUGGCCUUUCCAUCGUCUUUUAGGGCUCUAAAUAAUUAUCCAUAUUUACUAGUUAGAUGGGCCUCCCAAUGUAGUAACACACAUUUUUUCUUUUUUUCUUUUUUUUUAAUUUUACCAUUUUUUUUUUAAAGGGUUAACUCAAAAGAAAUCUAGAGAUCGUGUAUAAAAUAAUAAACUGCUAAGCUGUAUAGAGAAUGGGCAAAAGGGUUACUCUCCGAGAAAAUGAUAGGCUCAACAACUCACUUGGCACUUAUUUAUGACAUGUUCAUUCCUUCAAGCAGCUCAUAUUUGUCUCCGACAUCAACAUGUAAAGUAGCAAACAUAGUUUAACAUCACUUAAGACCAAAGAUAAUACAAAUACUAAAAUUUGAAAUUAAUCAUGUCAUCCAAUGUUAAAACAAAAAAAACACAAUUUUUUUUUUUGAACUACAUUCUACCCCCCAACCUAUUCUAAACAUGAAAGGAAAAUAUGCAUGCAGAAAUGUGAAAAUGAUGCAUAAAAACUAAUUAGAAAAGUUACACGUAAAAUGAUAGAAAAAGAAAAUGGGUUUUUUUUUUUUUUGUUUUUUAAGAAGAUGCGUUUCUAGAGGCACUACACUCCAUAUUCAGCCAUCUUCGACUCACAAGUUGGAAAAUGUAUAUUUAUAGAGGAGAAAUUAAAAAGAAGAAAAAUAAACAUAAAAACAGAAUAAAGAAAAAAAAAAAACUGCCUGAAAUUUUUUUUUUUAGUUUUUUAAUUUUUUUUUAAACGAUGAAUAUGCGUUUCUAGAGUCACUACACUCCAUAUUCAGCCAUCUUCAACACAAAAAGUUAGCAACAGUUAGUUUCUACAACAAAAAAUCAGUAAAAACUUAACCAAGAUUCCACAAUUGUCGACUAUUCCCUCCCCCCAACCAGAACGAAACAUUGUCCUCAAUGUUUUAAAGGAAAGAAGUAGAGUUUAGAAGACAUCACCUGGGUGGUGCAACACAGAAGAAUAUAUUUACAGGCGGAGAGUUAAAUCUAAUUUGAACUUCUUACUGCGGCUACUGUUACCAUCAUUAUUUGGGCGCUCCAAUACAAAGGUCCAGGGGUCUGGCUCCGGUUUAUAAGCUUGUAACAGAUCAAGUAGCUCAUUAGUAGUGUGAGCACAAAUAAAAAGUUUUUUUACAUUAGAAGGAAUGAAAUAGUUUUUUAUUGCAUGGUUAAGAAAUGCGAUAAAGCCAUCAUAAAAGUUAUUGACAUUUAACAAACCGAUGAGUUUCUGGUGAAUGUGUAGAUGGGCCCAAGAUGCUUGUGUCAUAAGUGCCUCUAGUGUUGCAAGAUCUCCUGGAAGGAAAAUAAAAGCAUCAGCAUGAUUAAGCAUUUCAGUUAUUCUUUCUUGCAUACUUGAGACCACUAACUCUUCUCCAGUUGAUGAGUCAGACAAACUGCCCAAUGGUUUUAAGACUCUUGGGAUGAUGCCUAACACUUGACUUCCUCUGAUAAAAGCUGCUUCUGAGACCAUUUUUGAUAACCCUCGGUUACCUCCUCCAUACACCAAGUGUAAUUUUCUCGCUGCUAUGCUUCGACCAAGAUCUAUGGCUGCCUCAACGAACUCUUUAUGUUUGCCAUAGGUAAAUCCAGAAAGCACACAAAUGUUUUGAAUUGUCUAUUGGGAGUGGCUGCCAUUGUGAUACUUCUCAAAAAUAAUUUGUGAGUGCUUGACAAAAAGUAAAUCACAUUUAAGAAUCUUGGUGACAGUGGAUCACAGUUGUGAAUGAGGUAACAUGUCAGUGUCAAAUAACGCGUAAAGCACGUGGCUCGCGAGUCAAAAAGGAAAUAGUAAAAAGGAAAAAGCAAACAAUAAGAAAAUUAUUAAAGGCAAUAAUGCAAACGAUAAAACAAUAGUGAAAUAAAAUAACAGAAAGUAAAAGGAUAUUUACACGUAGUUGCGACUGUGGCUCACAUCUUCCUCUGGUUUUACGUCCAGAAACGGCUUGAACGCCCUCUAUGGGUCGAGGAUGGGCUUCCCAUCCAGUUUUCUUAUAAACUGGCAAACAGGGUCGUUUAUAGUCAGGUUCCCGAGACUAUAUCGUGCAUGUUCUUUCUGGAAUAAUGGCCAUAACUGGAGAAUCGCUCCUUGCACAUAUCCACUGGGAUGCGUUUCAAGAGACAAAAGAAUAUCAUCCAAUGACUCCUUAUUCAAGCCAUCCCUAAUGAAUUGAAUCUUAUCUUCCCUGUUAUCAGACACCAUUCCUAAAGAACAUGGGUUUUUAUCGCAACUCAUUCUGGCACACUUAUGACAAGCAACAGAAAUUCUUCGAGCUCGUCGUUUUCUUGCAUAAUUUCCUUUACCACAACCAGGCAUGAAUGCAAUAAAUUUUGGAGGUAACUCACCUGCCGAUCGUACUUUAGCCUCGAUUAACCAACGGAUGUCAGCAGGUAUGUUAUUCUUCAUGAGUAAUCGUAUGCGUUCGGACCGAGCUUUAUAGAUCGUAAGGAGGGCAUUCUGAGGAAGUGAAGGGAAUCGCUUGUGAAGCUUCGCUAGAAUCUCGUUUCUGUCCAUACUUUCGCCUCAGAAUGUCAGUUAUUAUGGGAAACUGAAAUAACCGACUUGAUUGUCACGGAGUACCGUUAUCCGCCGCUUCACCGGGGUAAUAAACUAAAGCACAUAAACAAAAAAACAAAUCAAAACACACAAAGAAAAUUAAAAUCGUCCUCUUAUUGAAUUUACCUCAAGCUCCAACUGGAUGUCGUAAACACUUCUCUCAAUGUCUCUGAGUUGGCGUUCUAAACCCUCAACAUAGGCUACUAACUCUGGUGGUUGUAGAGCCCAAAUGUGAUGUGUUUUACAAAAUUGAAUCUGCUUUUUGAGAUGAGUUUUGACACGUUGAAGUGGUUUAAGAAUGUUCAGGAGGAACGGUCUAAGUAAGGUACUCAUGAUUAAAAUGAUAAGAGAAAACUUAAUUGUUAAACAAACACACUUAUGCAAAAAUAAUUUCAAUUAGCAAAAGAAUAAUAAAAAGAAAGAAAGAAAAAUCAAAUCAACGAAAAGAAAAAAAAAACAAAUCAAUUCAAAUCUGGUGGGUCACUCAAAUUUAUUUCGGUGUCUUCUCCAUGUGGUUGGUAUUCUAGAUAUGGCUUUAAUCUUUGACCAUUAACUUUAAACGUGACACCAUUCUUUAGGUCCUUAAUUUCAUUUGCCCCAUGUGGAAAAACAGUAUGAACAAUAAAGGGACCAGACCAUCGAGAGCGUAACUUACCUGGGAAUAAGUGCAAACGAGAAUUGAAUAAAAGCACUUUCUGACCUGGAGUGAACGAUUUCCUCAUAAUGUGCUUGUCAUGAAAGACUUUCAUUCGUUGCUUGUAAAUCUUGGCAUUUUCGUAUGCAUCAUUGCGAAUUUCUUCAAGUUCUGCCAGUUGUAAUCUUCUUUCUGAGCUGGCUUGCUGCAUGUCAAAGUUGAAUUUCUUGAUGGCCCAAUAUGCACGAUGCUCGAGUUCCACAGGUAGGUGGCAAGCUUUUCCAUACACUAGCCUGUAGGGUGACAUCCCAAUCGGGGUCUUGAAAGCCGUUCUAUAUGCCCAUAAUGCAUCAUCAAGUCUUAAUGACCAAUCUUUUCUGUCUGGCUUCACCGUCUUUUCUAAUAUGUGCUUUAUUUCUCGAUUGGAGAUCUCAACUUGGCCACUGGUUUGCGGAUGAUACGGAGUCGCCACUUUGUGGGUGAUUGAAUACUUUGUCAAAAGAGCUUUGAAUGCUUUGUUACAAAAGUGGGCACCACCAUCACUGAUUAUUGCUCGAGGGAAUCCAAAGCGUGAGACAAUGUUGCUUUUCAAAAAUCCUAUCACCACUUUGUGAUCAUUGGUCCUACAUGGAAUUGCUUCUACCCAUUUCGAGACGUAGUCAACACCAACCAAUAUGUAUUGAUGGCCAAAAGAAAGGGGAAAAGGUCCCAUGAAGUCGAUACCCCAUACGUAAAAAAUCUCAACCACUAAAAUUGGAUUUAGUGGCAUCAUGUUCCUUCGCGUAAUGCUCCCCAUUCGUUGACACCUAUCACAUGAAGAACAGAAAGUGUAAGCAUCUCGAAAUAUAGUUGGCCAAUAGAAACCACAUUGUAAAACUUUUGUAGCUGUUUUCUUAGCACUAAAAUGGCCUCCACACGCUUGUUCAUGGCAGAAUGAAAGGAUAUUUUGAAUUUCACUUUCUGGGACACAUCGCCUAACAAUUUGAUCUGCACAAUACUUGAACAAAUACGGGUCAUCCCAAAAGAAAUUCUUUAUUUCCGCAAAGAAUUUAGCCUUGUCUUGCUUGGUCCAAUGCUCUGGAAGUUUACCUGUAACAAGAUAAUUAACUAUAUCAGCAUACCAAGGUAAUACUUCCACAUUCAUUAAUUGUUCAUCUGGAAAUGACUCAUUCAAUGGUAAUGGUUCCAUAAUUGUAUCAAAAUGGAGGCGAGAGAGAUGGUCAGCUACAACAUUCUUUGUGCCUUUCUUAUCUUUGAAUUCCAAGUCAAAUUCCUGCAAAAGUAAUACCCAACGAAUUAGUCUAGCUUUUGCAUCUUUCUUUGUGAGAAGAUAUUUAAGAGCAGCAUGAUCUGUGAAUAUAAUUAUUUUACAACCAAUGAGAUAAGAUCGAAAAUUUUCCAAUGCAAAUACUACUACUAGCAUUUCUUUUUCAGUAGUUGAAUAGUUCAACUGUGCAUCAUUCAAUGUCAUACUAGCAUAGUAAAUAACAUGAGGAAUUCGAUCAACUCUUUGUCCUAAAACUGCUCCUACUGCAUAAUCAGAUGCAUCACACAUAAGCUCAAAUGGUAAGCUCUAGUUUAGGGCCUGAAUGAUGGGUGAUGAUGUCAACAAUUGCUUUAAUUUUUCAAAAGCCAUAAGACAUGAAUCAUUAAAGAUAAAAGGUACAUCCUUAGCAAGUAAAUUGCAUAAGGGUCUAGAAACUUUGCUAAAAUCUCUAAUGAAACGUCUAUAGAAACCAGCAUGCCCAAGGAAAGAUCUUACUUCUCUGACUGUUUUGGGUGGAGGAAGAUUAGAAAUGAGAUCCACCUUAGCUUUGUCAACCUCAAUACCUUUGCUCGAAAUGAUGUGACCGAGAACAAUACCUUGUUUUACCAUAAAAUGGCACUUCUCCCAAUUUAAGACUAAGUUCUUCUCGAUACAUCUCUGCAGAACUAGCGUUAGAUGAUGUAAACAUUGAUCAAACGAGUCACCAAAGACAGAAAAAUCAUCCAUAAAGACUUCAAGGAAUCGUUCAACCAUAUCAGAAAAAAUGCUCAACAUGCAUCGUUGGAAUGUAGCAGGUGCAUUACAUAAUCCAAAUGGCAUUCUCCUAUAUGCAAAAGUGCCAAAAGGGCAAGUGAAAGUAGUUUUCUCUUGAUCUUUUGGUGCUAUGGGAAUCUGAUUAUAUCCUGAGUAGCCAUCUAGAAAGCAAUAAAAUUCAUGGCCUGCUAAUCUAUCAAGCAUUUGAUCAAUAAAUGGUAAAGGAAAAUGAUCUUUACGUGUGACAGAAUUCAACUUUCUAUAAUCAAUGCAUACACGCCAUCCUGUAGUUACUCUAGUUGGUAUCAAUUCAUUAUCGGCAUUCGUAACUACUGUGACUCCUGACUUUUUGGGGACAACUUGUACAGGACUGACCCAUGAACUAUCAGAAAUUGGGUAAAUGAUACCUGCGUCUAAUAGCUUAAGGACUUCUGUUCUAACAACUUCUUUCAUAUUAGGAUUUAACCGACGUUGCAUUUCCCUAGUAGAUUUAGCAUUUUCAUCAAGGUGAAUGUAAUGCAUGCAGUCUACUGGGUUUAUACCUUUUAUGUCCGCUAUGGUCCAUCCUAAUGCUUCUUUGUGCUCUUUUAAAACAUCCAACAACUUACCUUUUUGUUCGUCAUUUAGGGAUGAUGAGAUGAUUACCGGUAGAGUACUUUCUUCUCCCAAAAAUGCAUAUUCCAAUGUGUUGGGCAAUGGUUUGAGCUCGAGUUUCGGUGGUGAUUCAGAUGAUGGGAUGAGUUUCUUUUCUGAUGGUGCUAGUUGUUCAACUCUUGACUUCCAUUUAUUAGUGUCCAUGGAUGGUGCUGAGUCAAGUAGGGCGUUGACCUCAUCGACCGAUCUGUCAAUAUCAAAAUCCAAACCAAAGUGAGUUAAAUAUGUUUGUAAAGGAUCAUCACUAAGGUUUGAAACAAAAGUAUUAUCAACUAUUGUUUCUAUUAAAUCCACAUCAACAAUUCCAUCAUUUGCACUGUGAGGUUGUUUGGCAAUGUUGAAAAUGUUUAGCUCCAUAGUCAUGUUGCCGAAGGACAACUGCAUAUUUCCAGUCCUGCAUUGAAUAUGAGCAUCUGCAGUUGCCAAGAAAGGUCGGCCUAGAAUAAUAGGGAUGUGCUUCCUUGAGUCCUGUAUUGGUUGAGUGUCAAUUACAAUGAAAUCAACAGGAAAAUAAAACUUCUCUACCUGGAUAAGCACGUCCUCUACAAUACCACGAGGUAUUUUCGUGGACCGAUCUGCAAGCUGUAACACCACUGGAGUUGGGUGUAAUUCUCCAAGUCCAAGUUUCAUGAAUACAGAGUAAGGCAAAAGAUUUACACUAGCUCCUAAAUCCAACAAAGCAUUCUCAAUUGUGUGGUUCCCUAUACUACAUGAGAUAGUGGGGGAGCCUGGGUCUUUGCAUUUUAAAGGAAUUUUAUGUUGGAGUAUAGAACUAACGUUUUCUGUUAAAAAUGCCUUCUUUUGAACAUGCAUGUUUCUCUUUUUAGUACAAAGGUCUUUAAGAAACUUGGCAUAAGAUGGAACUUGUUUAAUAGCAUCAAGUAAAGGGAUGUUAACACUUACUUGUUUGAAGAUUUCGAGAAUCUCACCUGUGGAUUUUCCCUUCUUUCCUUUCGCUAACCUCUGAGGAAAUGGAGCUUUGGGAACAUAGUCUCGUGGGUUGGUUUCUUCUUUCUCCUCCGAUGAUGAUUCCUCAACAUUCAUAGGUACAAUUUGAUUUUCUUUUGUCACCGGCAUCUCCACUUUGUUGUCGACUUCCUUUCCUUUUCGCAAGGUCAUAACUGCUUUGACCUCUCCAUGCUGCUGUGGUGAACUGGUACUUGCUUCAUGCACUCCUUUAGGAUUAGGCACUGGUUGACUUGGAAACUUGCCUUUCUCAACAGUCAUUGCCAAGGUCUGAACUGAAGAAGCAAGCUGUCCCACCAUCUUCUCGAGGCUUGAAACUGAUUGGGCUUGUGAGUUGAAGCCCGCUCUCAACUCAUUUCGUAGUCCAUCAAUAGUGCGGUUCUGUUGCUCAAUCGUAGAGUGAGUAGCAUUCUUGAAAUUCUGGAAUGAAUCCUCCCAUGGUCUGGGUUGAGAGUAGUUCUGGUUCUGAUUGUAUGAUCUAAAUGGUGGCUGAGAGGCUUGAGGAACUUGAGGAAUUUGUGGAGCUGGAGCUGCUGGUCCAUUCUGUUGGAAUCCUUGAGACCAUGAAAAAUUGGGGUGGUCUCUCCAUCCAGGAUUAUAUGUGUUGGAGUAUGGGUUGUAAUUAGAUGGUUUUCUCAUUACACCUAUGGCAUUGGCUUGAUCUGAGUAUGAGUCAUGGUCAUGUGGCUCUGUUGAUUUAGCAGUCGAUAAUGAUGCUAUUUGUCGAGAGAGACCUUCUAUUAUUGCUUUGACUUCUUUGAUUUCUGAAUUUGACUCGCCAAUUUGAACCUCAUUCACUCCUUUAACUCUUCUAGUAUUCCUGAGUGAUCGACUCCGUUGUUGGGAAUUAUCCGCUUGUCGCUGGAAGAAUUUCCAAAUCUCUGAUGCACUUUUUGACAUUAGCUCUCCUCCACUUGUUGCCAUUAGCCAUUCUUGCACAUUCGGCAAUAAUCCCUCCAAAAAGUAUUGGCAUUGAUGCCAUUUCUCGUACCCAUGAUGUGGACACUUCAAGAGUAGCCCAUUAAAUCGCUCCCAUGUUUCGAAAAACUGCUCGUCCUCUCUCUGUGUAAACUCUGAAAUUUCCCUGCGAAUAGCAUUGGUUUUAUGCACUGGGAAAUAUUUAUUUAGAAAUUUUGUAACCAUUUGUUCCCAUGAUGCAAUGCUAUUAGCAGGCAAAGUAUUUAACCAUGAACGAGCUCUAUCCUUUAAAGAAAAUGGGAAUAAUCUAAGUUUAACAUCAUCAUCUGAAAAAUUCUCGUAUUUAAAAGUUUGACAAAUAGCAUGAAAAUCAUUCAGAUGAUUAUAUGGGUCCUCAUUUUCUAGGCCAUAAAAUGUGGGGAGACAAUUUAGCACACUAGGUUUUAGUUCAAAACUCCUAGCAGCUACAUUUGGGUAUCUUAUGCAUGAUGUGCUCAAAUUAGCUAAUGGACUAAAAUAGUCCUUAAAUGGCCUCUCCUGUGGUGCUUGUAAAUCCAUUCCAAAUUUAUUUUCAAUGUGCUUUUGUGUGCGAAGUGUUUUUUCUAAUUCAAGGUCUAUAGGUUCAAGAUUAGGUAAUAAUGACCUACGACCAUGCAUGCAAAACAAAUAAAAUAAAAAUAAAGAUGGGAACAAAACAAAUAAAAAUAAAGAAGAGGGAGAAAUUACGAUACUAACUUUAUUGCGCUAUUACAACCUUUCUAUAAAAAUACACAAAAAUAAAUACGUGAAAUAAAUUAACUAAAAAUUAAAUUAAUAAAAUAAACAAAAAUUACAAAGAAAAAAUAAAUUGAAAAUUAAAUUACAGAAUUUUAAAGAAGAGAAAAAGAAAAGAAAUACUAACCUUUAAAUGUAGAUUUACUUUUUUUUUCUUUUAAUAAAAAAUACAAGAAAACAAAUAAAAGAAAUUAUUCACAAAAAUUAAUUCUAUGAAUUAAAAUUACUUACCUCCCCGGCAACGGCGCCAAAAACUUGUUGUGCAAAUUUUAAUGAACUCGCAAGCGCACGAAUCUAUUGUAGUGUAGAUCAAUGGUGACGAGUGUCGAUCCCACGAGGAGGUGGAUUUUAAUUGUGUAUAGAAUUAAUUUUGCAAAAUGGGUGGUUGGAAUUGUGGUGGAAGUGAUUUAAAUUAUCCUAAAAUUGGAAUUGAAAUUGCGAUAAUAAAUUCUAAAAUUGGAAUUGCAAUGGCGAGAAUAAGUUGAAGCGAAAUCUAUUGAAAUGACGUACUUGGGUAUCUGGAUCCGUAUCAACAUGCAUCAUGGGCUAAAUAAUCCAUAUUAAUGCCAAUUAAAUCAUGAGGGGGGAAUCCACACCUCAUGAACCACGCUCUAAUCAAUAUGGUGCUAAAGGCUUAUCGUGCCAAAUAAUAAUAACCUUAUACUAGAGAGCCGGUGUAACCAAGGCGGUAUCUAGACAAGAUCAGUAUUAUUUGUCGACGAUAAGUCAAAUCAUCCACAAAAACUAGAGGGGAAAAGAAAAUAAAUUUACCAAAUAAAGCCCAUGACACAUGUUGAGACUUCACCUUCAACCCAAGCUUGAAAGGAAAUUAGCUACUCAUAAUUGAACUAGGGGUAAAAUGGGAAUUUAUUAAAAUACAAAGAAAAUACAAGAUGGAGAAGGAAUUACAGAAAAUGGAUCCCAAAAAUGGAUUCAGAGAUAUCAAAUUAGGGGGGGGAGGCCCCUUUUUUAUAGAUACAUGGAGUAAAUCAUGGCCAUCGGAUUAAAAACAGUUUGGACGCUCAGGAUUGCGCCACGUCAUCAGUCAACAGUCCACGGUUUGACCACGCGGAUGAACAGUAACGCGGUUUGACUUGGAUGAACAGUAACGCGGUUUGGGUGAAAAUAAUCCUGUGUGAUGCAUGUACUGUACGCGAGAUUUUUCAUCCACUGAUAUGCUGCCACGUCACCAUCAACAGUACAUAAGAAUUUUAGCCCAACAGGAUCGUGACACCUCAUCAGUCAAUGCCACAUCAUCGGUCAAUGCCACAUCAUCGAUCCGUCUAUGUGAACAGUGUUGUGAACAGUAACGUAGUUAGUACCGUACACGUGAAUAGUACCGUACAUAUGAAUAGUGCCAUUUUUCCUUUUAU